rnacentral:rRNA from 1 species
ACUCCUACGGGAGGCAGCAGUAGGGAAUCUUCCACAAUGGGCGCAAGCCUGAUGGAGCAACACCGCGUGAGUGAAGAAGGGUUUCGGCUCGUAAAGCUCUGUUGUUAAAGAAGAACACGUAUGAGAGUAACUGUUCAUACGUUGACGGUAUUUAACCAGAAAGUCACGGCUAACUACGUGCCAGCAGCCGCGGUAAUACGUAGGUGGCAAGCGUUAUCCGGAUUUAUUGGGCGUAAAGAGAGUGCAGGCGGUUUUUCUAAGUCUGAUGUGAAAGCCUUCGGCUUAACCGGAGAAGUGCAUCGGAAACUGGAUAACUUGAGUGCAGAAGAGGGUAGUGGAACUCCAUGUGUAGCGGUGGAAUGCGUAGAUAUAUGGAAGAACACCAGUGGCGAAGGCGGCUACCUGGUCUGCAACUGACGCUGAGACUCGAAAGCAUGGGUAGCGAACAGGAUUAGAUACCCCUGGUAGGAUAGCG